rnacentral:rRNA from 1 species
UGGGGAAUAUUGCGCAAUGGGCGAAAGCCUGACGCAGCAACGCCGCGUGAGGGAAGAAGGUUUUCGGAUCGUAAACCUCUGUCGGGAGGGAAGCGGUACCUCCAAAGGAAGCACCGGCUAACUCCGUGCCAGCAGCCGCGGUAAUACGGAGGGUGCAAGCGUUAUUCGGAAUUACUGGGCGUAAAGGGCGUGUAGGCGGCUUUGUAAGUCAGAUGUGAAAGCCCACGGCUUAACCGUGGAACUGCAUUUGAAACUGCUUGGCUAGAGUACGGGAGGGGUGGCGGAAUUUCCCGGUGUAGGAGUGAAAUCCGUAGAUAUCGGGAGGAACACCGGUGGCGAAGGCGGCCACCUGGACCGUAACUGACGCUGAGACGCGAAAGCGUGGGGAGC